rnacentral:antisense_RNA from 1 species
UGUUAUGGCGGCUGUGCGCGGAGCACUCGCGAGUGCGCCGGGUUCCAGUAGCCCCGGUCUUCCACACCGCGCAUAGCUGCCACCCUA